GACAUGAAAAGGAAGAAAUGGGACCUAAGAGUAGUGGGCAUGGGAAUAUGAUGGAAUGCUAAAGCUCUCUCAGUUCCUAGUGCAACGCUGAAAGAGGCUUCGGUUGAGUUCUGAUGCCUUCCAUGCCUAUUGUUCUUUGGUGCUCCUUGCUCUUUCUAUUUGGU
rnacentral:pre_miRNA from 1 species